UUCGUUGUGAUAGUGCCCACCCCUGCGAGUAUCGCCGCCGCCCCCACCUUCUCAGCGGCUCCCGCGGGCGCCUCACUCCCACCUACUCCGCGGCCCCCGCCGGCGCCUCGCCCCCCACCUUCUCCGCGGCCCCCGCCGGCGCCUCGCCCCCACCUUCUCCGCGGCUCCUGCCGGCGCCAGGCUCCCCACGCGACGGUCGCCUCCCUUCGCCAACCGGCCACCUCCCGCUUCAGGCAGUUCAGGCGUCGCCCCUUCGCCUCCUUCUGGCUGCCCUCGGCGACGCUCCAGCCGCCACUCCGCCUCGUCCCUGGUGGGAGGUCCGUCACCGGUCCAUCCAGCGGUCCAAACCCACCGCCCGAGGCCGUUCACCUUCGCAGCACCCCUUUCCAGCAGCCAUCGUGAGGUGUUCAGUCCAGCUCCUGCAACCAACACAGGCCGUUGCCCCUUUUGCCACAACGGCACCAGCACAAACACGAGCGUGGUCAUCCUCAACCAGUUCCUCACGCGGCCUCCGCGCAAGCCCUGCUCGUGUAUGCUUACACCAAAAGUACAACUCUUGCUACUCUCCUUGUACUUGCACUUGCUUAUUUUCUAAGCAAUAAUCCUAUUGCUUCCUCUUGGGGAAAGGGAUCCCAUGUUGAAGCUGUCUUGGUGCUCACCCACUGUUUAUAUUCAUCACCAUAGUGUACGAAACAUAUGAAAACCAUUCUGGCUUCGGAGAAAUAUAACCAGUACAUGUGCAAUUGCGCGAGAAGUUCCCUUAUGAAAGUUCCAUGUAAACAAACCACAUGAAAGUUCAUCGAGAGAAACUUUGUAAGUUCAAAAUGGCUAUAGGAAAACUUUGUAGGUUCAGAUGGGUAUAGAAAACUUUGUAAGUUCAAAAUGGGCAUGCCUAACAGUGGAUGAAUAAAAAAACUAAACCCAACAAAGUCCAUGUUGGUCGGUGUACAGUGUGUUGUCAAGAAGGUUGUUGGCCUUGGAGGCCGACACUGGCUGAUCAUCUACCUUCCAAUUAUUAUUAGGCAUAUACCACUAAAACUGCAGGUCGCGCCCUCCUCCUGCUGUAGGUCGCGCCCUCCUCUCGCAUAGCCUAUUGGUUGGCGUACCGUGACCCCUUCUCAUAUUUUUGUUCGAUGUUUUGAGAUAGCUCAGAUUACUUCCAACUGUGAAGAUUGACAUGCAUAUUUGGGGAUGAGAUUUUCAGCUGACCAGAACUGUUAACGAACCAAAGCAAUCAGGAAUAGUUAGUCAUGGGGGAUCGUUACCUGGACAAACAAGUUCAGAAUUUUGGAGAACCUUUCUUUAUGGUUAUUCGCGAGGAUGAGACCUUAUCUUCUAUUAAAGAACGUUUACAGAAAAAGCUUAAGGUCUCAGAUGAGGAUUUCUCAAAGCAGUUCAACAGGGGCGCAGGGUUCAGUUCGACGGUGACGAGCCAGGCAGCCGGCCUUCGCAUAACGAACUGGUGCAGUUCGAUCUUGUGCAAAUCGGAAAUCCCCUGAUGCUGAGUGUGUCAGUACAACCCUAUGCUUUAAGGCACACAUGCAUCCACUCCACGUGUUAGUCAAUGUCAUCAGGGAAGAAGACCUCGACCUAUGGCAAAGAUGUCCGCACAUGCCACACGCUACCAGAUUCGCCGCCCACAGCUACAACCCUUCGACCGGCAAGGCUGCCAUUCCCCCCGCACCUGACGCCGCCUGGGCCCUCCGGACAACGAGACCAUCGCCGCCCCAUGCUCAAUCUAGAGUUCUUGUGUGUUUGCAUGUUAGGUGCUCGUACAAAUGCCCCUGAGGAUGUUUUUUCCUCAAAAAUGUUACUUGUGUUUCUAAAUUUGACAUGAUGCCAGUGGCUAAACCUGACGCACUUGCAUAGUAGCUACAUCUAGCUACUUGCUCUCCAUUAUAUCCCCCUCUUUGCAGAAAAAUCGUCCGUUCAAGUUUCAAGUUUGUUGGAAGCGUGUGCGGAAAAAUCACUGUGCUUGCUCCCACCAGUGAAUUGUGCAAGUUCAAUGAGUGUCGUCGAGCAUGUUUAGAAGUAUGCCCUUCGUGCAAAAGUGUGAAUUUUUAUCAGUAUUUUGUAUAUUUGAUUUGAUAGAGGCUUCAUGUGAUCUUGUGGAGCUUUAUAGAUGUACUGCCAUUACACUUCUAAAGCCAUACAGUUCAUUAUAUCAUACAUGUGGGGUCA